rnacentral:rRNA from 1 species
CCUACGGGAGGCAGCAGUGGGGAAUAUUGCACAAUGGGCGCAAGCCUGAUGCAGCCAUGCCGCGUGUGUGAAGAAGGCCUUCGGGUUGUAAAGCACUUUCAGUCAAGAGGAAAGGUUAGUAGUUAAUACCUGCUAGCUGUGACGUUACUGACAGAAGAAGCACCGGCUAACUCCGUGCCAGCAGCCGCGGUAAUA